rnacentral:rRNA from 1 species
AUGGAUUGGUGGCUGCGCGCAAAGGACUCGACACCGCCAGCACUUCGCAAGGCGCUCAAAUCUGUGGCGCUCCUGGUACCGUGGAUGGUUUGGAAGCAUAGGAACGCGUGUGUUUUCGACCAUGUGACACCUUCGCUGAACGAGUUGGUAGACAGGAUUAAAGACGAGACCCGAUGUUGGGCAAAGGCCGGAGCUCAAGGGCUCAGGGUCGUUUUGCCACCAUCCUGGGAUGUCCACUGA